GCCCACGGUGCAUUUCAAUGGCCGCUGAGAAGAGUAAGCGCCAAAUCGUCCGCAGCCCCUCACUUUGAGUGCGAUUGUCGCAGGUUUAUCAUCAGAAGCCACGUGGAUGUCGAAUUGCUCGACAGCACCACCAGAGUUGAACAGGUCAAGCAGGCCGAUUGGAGCAAAAGCGAUGUUAGAUGUGAUUUCCUGCCCAAGAGAAAGGUCGGUAUUAGGAACUGUCUUGCAAAGCCCGGAAAGUCUGAAAUGGUUGUCACACAGGCAGCAGAGAGAAAAGGAUAGAAUUCAUACCUUCAGUGGACAGAAGUGGAAAAGCUCAUACUCCAGAACCUUGAGAGUAACAGGGACGGACGCACCUUUGGGCAGCCGAAUCAACUCCCCUGGAAUUUACAACGGUAUCACAAUUUGAAACUUCCCUUUCCAUACAGAAACCUUUCAAGUAUACAAGAAACUCUAUGUUCUCGAAUCAUUCUUCAGAACAACAGGUUUAUUUAAUUACCUGAUCUGUAGGCAUAAACUAUAGUCUCUCCAUUCCAAUUUGGACUGGCCACUUGGGAAAUGAGGUCAACAUCCGUGGCACGGACAGAGGUGGUGAGGGUACCCGGUGAUUCAUCAUGGAUGCGAGUCUUCUUAACAACCUUGCACCAGCCAGCACCUUGGCAAUUGAAUACCCCGACCACUCCAGUGCAUUUAUUCAAGUUCCAUAUCUUG
rnacentral:lncRNA from 1 species